GCCUGGCUGGCUCAGUGCUGGAGCAUGAGACUUUUGAUCUCGGGGUUGUAAGUUCAAUCCCCACUUUAGGUG
rnacentral:tRNA from 1 species